rnacentral:rRNA from 1 species
UACGAGGGGGGCGAGCGUUGUUCGGAAUUAUUGGGCGUAAAGGGUGCGUAGGCGGCCUGACAAGUCUGAUGUGAAAUCCCUGGGCUCAACCCAGGGCCUGCAUCGGAAACUGUCGGGCUUGAGUAUGGGAGAGGUGAGUGGAAUUCCUGGUGUAGCAGUGAAAUGCGUAGAUAUCAGGAGGAAUACCGAUGGCGAAGGCAGGUCUCUGGGCUGACACUGACGCUCAUGCACGAAAGCGUGGGGAGCAAACAGG